UCAAGACAUUUUCAAUCACCAUUAAUUUUCAAAUUUAAUUCAAACAAAUUUUCAAUACAACUUCCAAAUUUAAACCAAGUGUCAAUUCCAAAUUCAUUCUUUUCGCAAUUAAAUUGACCAUACAUACAAUUCAUACAUAAAAACAAGUAAUACUCCAUAAUAUGUUCCACGUAAAACAAUUCCUAAGCAUUAAAUUGACCAUACAUACAAUUCAUCACUUUGAAGCCGCAGGCGAAGUGAUGGAACACGGAGAACUAAUCGAGCUUGAAGAAUGUUGCAGACGCGAUGUUGACGCUGUUGAACGAUCCUGGCUUUUUCUGCAUAAGCGUUUUAGGUUUGGAUGUGUGCGU
rnacentral:lncRNA from 1 species